CACUGGAUGUUCUGUCUUGGUGGCAUUGCUUGCCAUUUAAAUGUGAAAAAUCACAUCAUUUGUUACAUUUUAGGUCCAGAAACGGUUGAAAAAUGCUUCUGAGAUGAGGCAGACAGGUAUUAAGGAGGAAUCAUCUCAAGCAACCUGAUCAGUCACAAACAGAAUAAACCCAUUUGAUUUCCUGAUGUUGAUGUCUGAGCUUUUAGCAUGAAGAAGCUCUUGUCAGCCGCUUCCAGUAUCAUCUUCCAUCCUGAGUUCUCCUGGGAAGGCCUGGAAGAGUCUUGUAACAAACAAACAGCUAUGCAUCAUCACCACCAAUUAACUAUUAUUUUGGCACUAAGUAUAUUUUGAAAACCAA